GAUGAACGCUGACAGAAUGCUUAACACAUGCAAGUCUACUUGAAUUUGGGUUUUUAACUUAGAUUUGGGUGGCGGACGGGUGAGUAACGCGUAAAGAACUUGCCUCACAGCUAGGGACAACAUUUAGAAAUGAAUGCUAAUACCUGAUAUUAUGAUUUUAAGGCAUCUUAGAAUUAUGAAAGCUAUAAGCACUGUGAGAGAGCUUUGCGUCCCAUUAGCUAGUUGGAGAGGUAACAGCUCACCAAGGCGAUGAUGGGUAGCCGGCCUGAGAGGGUGAUCGGCCACAAGGGGACUGAGACACGGCCCUUACUCCUACGGGAGGCAGCAGUGGGGAAUAUUGGACAAUGGACCGAGAGUCUGACCCAGCAAUUCUGUGUGCACGAUGAAGUUUUUCGGAAUGUAAAGUGCUUUCAGUUGGGAAGAAAAAAAUGACGGUACCAACAGAAGAAGUGACGGCUAAAUACGUGCCAGCAGCCGCGGUAAUACGUAUGUCACAAGCGUUAUCCGGAUUUAUUGGGCGUAAAGCGCGUCUAGGUGGUUAUGUAAGUCUGAUGUGAAAAUGCAGGGCUCAACUCUGUAUUGCGUUGGAAACUGUGUAACUAGAGUACUGGAGAGGUAAGCGGAACUACAAGUGUAGAGGUGAAAUUCGUAGAUAUUUGUAGGAAUGCCGAUGGGGAAGCCAGCUUACUGGACAGAUACUGACGCUGAAGCGCGAAAGCGUGGGCAGCAAACAGG
rnacentral:rRNA from 1 species